rnacentral:rRNA from 1 species
CCUACGGGAGGCAGCAGUAGGGAAUAUUGCUCAAUGGGGGAAACCCUGAAGCAGCAACGCCGCGUGGAGGAUGAAGGUUUUCGGAUUGUAAACUCCUUUUGUUAGAGAAGAUAAUGACGGUAUCUAACGAAUAAGCACCGGCUAACACCGUGCCAGCAGCCGCGGUAAUACGGAGGGUGCAAGCGUUACUCGGAAUCACUGGGCGUAAAGCGCGCGUAGGCGGGAUAGCAAGUCAGAUGUGAAAUCCUAUGGCUUAACCAUAGAACUGCAUUUGAAACUGUUAUUCUAGAGUAUGGGAGAGGUAGGUGGAAUGCUUGGUGUAGGGGUAAAAUCCGUAGAGAUCAAGAGGAAUACUCAUUGCGAAGGCGACCUGCUAGAACAUAACUGACGCUGAUGCGCGAAAGCGUGGGGAGCAAACAGGAUUAGAUACCCGGGUAGUC